UCACUUUCCCUCUUAGAUAUUUUCAUUUUCCCUCUCACGUUAUUUUCACUUUCCCUCUCUAUUUUCUCAUAUACCCUCAUUUCAGAAUUUCUCUCAGAAACCCUAAUCUUCUUCUCCUCUUCCCCUAAUCCGUGAAUCUAAUAAUCAACCAAGAAUCUCUAAAAUCUGAAAUUCCCAAAACCAUGUGAUUCUCUAAAACCCGUAAACCCUUAAUCGUGAAACCCUAAUUCAUUCAUCAAAUUUGUGAAUCCCUGGUUCCAAUUGAAGAAUGUUUCGUUUAAUGACUUGUUGAUUUGAAGAUUCCAAUCGUUUAUUUCGAUUCCCAAAAUCAGUGAAGCCCUAAUCCCUAAUUCAAAGAACUCAGAUUCGUGGAUGCAUGAUGAAGCAGCUGUUCAUUGCAAGUUGAUUGUUGUUUUGAAAAUUUAGCUCGAGAAGCGGGAUUGCAGGAGGCUUUUCCGAAUUGGUUACGCAGGUAAAGAUCUUUUUUCAUUCAUCGCCAUUGUUAUUUAUUUAUAUUAUUAAGUAUUAGGUUCUUGUAUUCUAUAUUUUUUUGAAGAAUUAGGUUCUUGUAGUUUCCUCUAUUGUAAUCGUUUUUAUGUUUUUUGUUUUCUCUCUAACCACUAUUGUAAUCGUUUUUAUGUUUUAUGUUCCUACUGUUGAUAUGAUUUG